UACGUAGGGUGCGAGCGUUGUCCGGAAUUAUUGGGCGUAAAGGGCUCGUAGGCGGUCUGUCGCGUCGGGAGUGAAAACUCGGGGCUUAACCCCGAGCCUGCUUCUGAUACGGGCAGACUAGAGGUAUGCAGGGGAGAACGGAAUUCCUGGUGUAGCGGUGAAAUGCGCAGAUAUCAGGAGGAACACCAACGGCGAAGGCAGCACUCUGGGCCGGAACUGACGCUGAGGAGCGAAAGCGUGGGUAGCGAACAGG
rnacentral:rRNA from 1 species